CUCAAACUCCGUUUUUUGCCUUUUGGUGUGACCAGAUGCCUGGAGGGUGUGGAGAUGGGUAUUUCCCUUUCCUCAGGUAGAUUAGGCUCCGGUAAAACUUCAGAGGUGAGAUUCUGCCUGAAUAAUUUCUCCUAAGGACAGAUCUUGUUAACAAGAACGGAAUGCUCUGGUAUAUUUCAAGAUGGUUCUUCUCUCCUCCUACCCCAUGUCCCCUUUGACUAGAAGCAAGAUGGGUUUUUUAACUCUGAUAUUCACUGUGAGAUAAAGCUCCUGGAGGUGAAACUUACAAAAAAAGUGGGGUCACUGUGACUGGGUCCACCGGAAGAUUUUAACUCUCAAGAAUUGCCUACACUGAGCUUCAAGCAAUUUGUCAAUUACAGUUCAGGUUUUCCUACCCAGCACUGGUUCCGGAGGAGGUUGCAAGUUGUCUGAGUUUCUGCUCUAAUGUGGCAUCUUAUUUUCUUCAGCAUCCACCUGUCUAUCUUGAUUUGUCCAGGCUUUCCUAAUGCAUUAGUGCUUCAGUCCGUUCUCCAGGUUGAGAUAGCAAUCCCUCAUAUCACUUUGGAAUAAGUUGGAAGGCCCUCAUGACAAGAAACUGAUGAAGGCUUCCAGUUGACAGCCAGCAAGAUAUAGAGGUCCCCAGUCCAGUAGCCCAUAAGGGACUAAUGGCCAUCAACAACCACAUGACCUUGAAAGCGAAUAUUUCCUCAACUGAGCUUCAGAUGAGGCUGCAGGUCCUGCCAGUACUUCAACUGCAGCCUUGUGAGAUCCUGAAGCAGAGAUUCCAGCUGAGCUUUUCCAACAUCCACCCAAAUAGUGAGACAAUACAUGUGUUUUUUUCUUUUUUUUCAGUCACUAUUAUACAGCAAUAUACAAGAAAACAUUCAAUAUAUUUAUAUAAAUAUAUAUUUUAAGUAUAAAAUAUGUCAGACAUCAUAAUAGGUUGUUUAAUUACUACAAUAUUUAAUCUGAAAAAUGAGCAAAAGUAUAUAACUCAAAAGAGGGGGAUUUACGUUAUUCAACACAAAUUUGAGUGUGUUGUAUUCUUGUAUUUCUGGGAGAAGCCAAACUUGGUCAUGUAACUUUAAAUUUAGAAGAAUAAAUGUUUUUGGUACAAUGGUAGCCUUGAUUUUUAAUAUAGUGUUUAAUAAUUUUAUAGUUAUGUAGCUAAGUUGAUUUUAUUUGAAUGAGAAAAGCCAGAGAAUGACACAAGAAAAAGGAGAACACAGAUGCACUGUCACUUUUGAUUUAUUUGAAAAUAUCUUCAUUUGGUAUUUAUUCUUUAAUAAUGUUGGACAUAAAAUUCCAGAUGAUUUUUUUCCUCAUAAUUUUAGAGAAACUUUUUGACUCUUUUUUUUUUUUGCUUUGGAGAUAUCUUCUGUAUCAUUUCUGUAAUCUAGUUUACUUCCUCCCUUUAAAUAUUUAUUAUUUAUUUAUUUAUUUUAGUAUUCUACACUUUUCCUUAGGAGUAAAUUCAUUUUUAUUUACUAUGCUCG
rnacentral:lncRNA from 10 species